rnacentral:rRNA from 1 species
AUUGAACGCUGGCGGCAUGCCUUACACAUGCAAGUCGAACGGCAGCACGGGGCAACCUGGUGGCGAGUGGCGAACGGGUGAGUAAUGCAUCGGAACGUACCUUUCAGUGGGGGAUAACGUAGCGAAAGUUACGCUAAUACCACAUAUUCUGUGAGCAGGAAAGCAGGGGAUCGCAAGACCUUGCGCUGAUUGAGCGGCCGAUGUCAGAUUAGCUAGUUGGUGAGGUAAAGGCUAACCAAGGCGACGAUCUGUAGGGGGUCUGAGAGGAUGCUCCGCCACACUGGAACUGAGACACGGUCCAGACUCCUACGGGAGGCAGCAGUGGGGAAUUUUGGACAAUGGGGGCAACCCUGAUCCAGCCAUGCCGCGUGAGUGAAGAAGGCCUUCGGGUUGUAAAGCUCUUUCGGCCGGGAAGAAAUCGCACGGGCUAAUACCCUGUGUGGAUGACGGUACCGGAAUAAGAAGCACCGGCUAACUACGUGCCAGCCGCCGCCGUAAUAC